AGAAAAAAGGAAAAAAA
rnacentral:sRNA from 1 species